GUGGGGGUGGCAAGAAAGAAGAGAAAAUAAAAGGAAAUCAGAAAUUCCUAAUAGCUAUAACUGUCACUGACAUGAGCAUUAAGAGAACUGGACAUCCCAGUUUGGGCAUGUAUGAAAAUUCCAAAAAUUGAGCAGAUACAUAUAUACUACACUAAGUAGUUCCAUAGAAGGAUCUAUAUCAAUAUACUUGGUUGCCAAUAGCUAUUAAUGAAGUGUGCUUUCCCAAAGCAGUUGACAAUAGACUUUCUUAGUGAUUAGUAAAUGAUGGGAUCAUGUUUCAUAUUUAAAGCAAAUUUCUAGUCACAGAGUGUUAAUUUGCAGAUCCAUAGUAUACUGGUUGGUUGGCAUGAAGGAGCUGUGUUUCUUUUGGCACAUACAAAUGUAAAAAUCAUUAUUUUUCAUUGUCAUCUUCAUAAUACUCAUUAUCAAAUUUGGAUGUGACUUCAUAGCUUUGUUCUUUGAGACUCAAGUGAAGGCCUGUAAGAUGUGGGGACAGAGAUGGACAAGGUGUGUAAGUCUCUGAAUCUCACCUGCAUGCACCUGUUGGUUCUCUGCUGAGUGACAAGAAUGCAGGAAAGCACAAGGUGAGCUGGGACAUUGCCUAGAAGAAUCCAUUUGAGUCAAAAAUUUGCAGAGGAGAAAUUCAUUUCAAGCUAGUAUCCUUGUUUCUAUUAAAACAAAUCCAGCUAUAUUAUGGAGUAAAAUGCAAAACUGUUAAUGAUUUUUUUCCAGCAAGAAUCAAGAACUUCAAAAAAAUUUCUCUCUUGCAGAGGGCUUUGAAAUGAAUUUCUUGGUCCUUAAGUGUAAAACAAAUGCUCACUCAUGCUCUUUAAACAUUUGCAGACCAGAUCCUUGCUUAACAAUCUCAUUUGACAUUAAAAAAAAAAAGCACAAAGAGAAAACCUGAUUUGUGAAUGUAAUUUGGCUUUAUACACCUUCCAUCUUCAAGUUAACCUUGGAUACUUGUUCUUGGCCAAUUAGAAAAUUCAGAGAAGGCAUGAUUGAAUGGCUUAUGGAAGAAUCUAAGAUGGUCCAUGAUCUUAGUCCCUGCUGUGCUACUAACCAAUGUGUGACUUAAGCAAGAGAUUUAGUCUCAGUCCCUCAGCAGUAGAAAUAUGUAUUUAAAAAGAAAGAAGGAAAUCUGAAUACUCAUACCACUUGCUGUGGAAACAGAUAACAGAUAGGAGUGAAGUCUGAAGUGCUGAAUGAGGAAAUGGAGCCCAAAGACUUGAGUCCAGCAGUUGAAAGCACUUUGCUAACUGAGAUGGGAGAUGGACUUGCCUUCAACAAAUUCAUCUCAAGCCGGUGUCCUUGGCUGCUGCUUCAUCUUCAUGGCCUGUGGUCGGUGAUUCACCAAACCACUUCCACUGCUAAACUUUGCUUUAUUCCUUGGCUGUGGGCUUCCUUCUAAUUCUGGCCCUUGGAUGCUAAAGGCAUACUCCAGGCUCCUGGAAGAAUGAGUCUCAGCAGGAAGGAAUCUCCUUAAAUCCACCCAUCACGGCUGGGAAAUGGCCCACCAGAGGGUGAGCUCCUUGAGUGCUAUGCAAGUGUCAGCUGUUGUUCUUGCCAUUUGCUCCCUAACCCUCUCAGGAGCGCCAGUAGGGAUGACAUCAAGAAUGUCACAUCCAUGCCUUCUUCUGUCUUACUAGAUAAAGACAUCAGAGCUUCAAGAAGUGCUUUAAUCUGUGUCAGUCCAUAUGAAUAUUUCCUCAUCCUCCUCUCCUGGUGGAUUCCUGUGACCUAUGCUUAUGACCCC
rnacentral:lncRNA from 1 species